rnacentral:misc_RNA from 1 species
AUUAAAGCAUUUGAAUCAGAUAGAGUGUUUUCUGGAUGUGAAAUGUAACUGUUGCUGGUCAGAUAUGAUGAAGGUUUUGCAAGCCCGGCUGAUUUUGCUGCCUCAGCAGCAAAUGUAGAGAGCACGGACGACAUGAUAUACUGAGAGGAGCUAGAAGCUGUAAGCUUGUCAGCUACCUCGGCUGCGAUUGCUGCAGCUGUUUUCUUGCUUGUUUCUCCUGCUUUUCCAUAGAUGUCUGGUGAAGUUGUUGUACCCAAAGGCUUUCUUUCUCCCACAUAAUCUUCAUCAUCCAGAUACUUCCGCAUGUUGCUGGCUUCCCCCGCCUGUGCUUCCGCCACCUGU